rnacentral:rRNA from 1 species
UACGUAGGGUGCAAGCGUUGUCCGGAUUUAUUGGGCGUAAAGAGCGUGUAGGCGGCCAGACAGGUCCGUUGUGAAAACUGGAGGCUCAACCUCCAGACGUCGAUGGAAACCGUCUGGCUAGAGUCCGGAAGAGGAGAGUGGAAUUCCAGGUGUAGCGGUGAAAUGCGUAGAUAUCUGGAGGAACACCGGUGGCGAAGGCGGCAUCCUGGACCGGUAUUGACGCUGAGGCGCGAAAGCCAGGGGAGCAAACGGGG